rnacentral:tRNA from 1 species
GGAUUGUGGCUCAGUGGUAGAGCGCUUGCCUAGCACGUGUGAGGCCCUGGGUUCAAUCCUCAGCACCA